rnacentral:rRNA from 1 species
AUGGCUCACCAAGCUACACAAGAUUAUUACUUGAAGUAUGCAUCCUCGAGGAGAGAUCUUCGUGAUUGGAGGGUUGUGUACACGAUUCAGCCAAGCAGCAGCUUUAGUAACCUUGACGACUGUGCAUAUGACCCAUCUACUAUAGAUGAAUAUUUCAAAGAAGUUAGUCAGCUGGGUAGUUUCUCUGUAGACGUUGGAAAAUUUGUUGAUGAGUCUGCUGAGCCAAGAAAGGAGUCAGAUGAUGUGAUGCUUGAUCCCUCUGAAAUUGAAAGAAUAGAAAAUCAAGACUUUAAUGAUGAGGGAGAAGAAUCUUCGGAAGAUGAUUUGGAAGAGAGUACCAAUGAGGAAGAAGAUUUACCACAAGAGGAAGGAGAAGAAUAG